rnacentral:rRNA from 1 species
AUUGAACGCUGGCGGCAUGCCUUACACAUGCAAGUCGAACGGCAGCACGGGAGCAAUCCUGGUGGCGAGUGGCGAACGGGUGAGUAAAGUAUCGGAACGUGCCCAGUCGUGGGGGAUAACGUAGCGAAAGUUACGCUAAUACCGCAUACGAUCUAUGGAUGAAAGCGGGGGACCGCAAGACCUCGCGCGAUUGGAGCGGCCGAUAUCAGAUUAGGUAGUUGGUGGGGUAAAGGCCCACCAAGCCGACGAUCUGUAGCUGGUCUGAGAGGACGACCAGCAACACUGGGACUGAGACACGGCCCAGACUCCUACGGGAGGCAGCAGUGGGGAAUUUUGGACAAUGGGCGAAAGCCUGAUCCAGCCAUGCCGCGUGCAGGAUGAAGGCCUUCGGGUUGUAAACUGCUUUUGUACGGAACGAAAAGGUUUGGCCUAAUAAGCUGAGCUCAUGACGGUACCGUAAGAAUAAGCACCGGCUAACUACGUGCCAGCCGCCGCGGUAA